rnacentral:lncRNA from 1 species
CACACCCUGUAUAAUGUCUGAGCAGGUUUUCUGCAUAGUUGCCAGUGCUUAUUUUUACAAUCUCUAACAUAACAGCUUCAAAUAUAAACACAAACAUAGCCAGCAUGAACGACAGCAUCUGCAUUGGCCACGGAGCUAAAACAGGCUCUUAGAAAUGUGCUUGACAUUUCCCGUGGCAGCUUCACAGCCUCCUUGGAAAGCCUUGGUCCACCUCUCUGCUGCUGACAAGCUCUGAUUUGGAUGAAGAAAAGGAGGCUCAGAGAGUUUAAGAAACUUACCCUCCUCACACCAUGGAUAACAGGCAGAGCCAAAAGCAAAUGCAGAUGAAGACGUUGAUGCUCAAAAGUCGCUAAUGAGAAGCUGAGCCAAGAGUCAGAUCCAAAGUCCUUCCAGCUCUGAAGCCUGCAUUGUUUCCAACGCAUGAUGUUGUCUGAAUGGCUCAGUGAUGGCUUGGCUGAAGAAGACUUCAUGAUCACUCCCAUUUUGAAGAUCAGCACAUUGAGGUUCAGAGUGGUGAAAUGACUUGAAGUUCCUGUGGAGAGUAAAUGGGAAACAUCAGAGGAAUGAUUUGAACCCUGGUCUGUCCACCUUCAGUGCCCAUAUUUUGUCCUCCAUGCUUUGAAGCACAAAUCAUGAUUCAGGUGAAGAAAGAUAUUUUAAGAGCUAUGAAGAUUGCUGGUAUUCUCAACAACAAGAGCUCUGUGGUCACAUGUGAGUCUAGUUUGGGUUGUUGCUUUUCAAACUUAUUUGAUUACAAAACUAUAGAUGUCAAUUAUUUUGCAAAAUGCUUAGUGCUGGAGAUGAUGAGUGCCUAGAUGUAAGCAUCUGCUGCUGGGUUUUGCUUUCAGAAGACACAGAGAAAAAUACAAAUUUAUCAAACCUAUUAGCCUAAGAUUAUUGUUAUCAUGAAGCAUUUUUGUUUAUAAAAGUAUUUCCUUUAAUAAGCAUAAGCAUUAGCAGCCCCAUUCACCAACUGUCAACUUGGUGCCUACUCAGAGCAGUGCUUCUACACCCCGCCACCUCCUGCCAGCUGCUGGGGUCCCUGCUCCCUGCUCAGGAGCUCACUGUGGAAUGGAUCUGAAGGUGCAGCCUGGGCAUUGAGAGUUUCAAAAGCUCCCCACAUGGUCCUAACAUGCAGCCAGAAUUCAGAACUAUUGAUUUAGAUUGGUAGGGAGACUAGGAGAGUAGGGAAGAAGAAAUCCAUAGUCUAAAGGGUUAAGGAAGCUCUUAGAGUGACCAACCCAUUCCAGUUUGCCAGGGAUUGUUCUGAAUUGAAAACUGAAAAUCCUGUGUUUUGUGAAACCCCUCAGUCCCAGGCAAACCAGGGUGGCUGGUGACCCAUGGUACAUUUCCGGGUGUUAGGUAAAGACAAAGGCUCUCAAAUGACAAUCUUUGUCUAUGGGAAAUAGACAAAACCUCUCUUUAC